UACGGGGGGGGCAAGCGUUGUUCGGAAUUACUGGGCGUAAAGGGCUCGUAGGCGGUUCGGUAAGUCAGGUGUGAAAACUCCAGGCUCAACUUGGAGACGCCACCUGAUACUGUCGUGACUAGAGUCCGGUAGGGGAGCAUGGAAUUCCUGGUGUAGCGGUGAAAUGCGCAGAUAUCAGGAGGAACACCAGCGGCGAAGGCGGUGCUCUGGGCCGGAACUGACGCUGAGGAGCGAAAGCGUGGGGAGCGAACAGG
rnacentral:rRNA from 1 species